CCGCGGUAAUUCCAGCUCCAAUAGCGUAUAUUUAAGUUGUUGCAGUUAAAAAGCUCGUAGUUGAACCUUGGGUCUGGCUGGUCGGUCCGCCUCACCGCGAGUACUGAUCCGGCUGGACCUUUCCUUCUGGGGAACCUCAUGGCCUUCACUGGCUGUGGGGGGAACCAGGACUUUUACUGUGAAAAAAUUAGAGUGUUCAAAGCAGGCCU
rnacentral:rRNA from 15 species